CUCUCAUACCUUUUUAGGCGUAAAACACUGGGAAGGAGCCAAGAAAACCAAGCCAGCGUCAACAGAUGACUAAGGAGAGGGAUGUGUGGAGGAAGGGAGUGCAGCUGUGCAAGAGGGAAGCAAGAGGGCGGCAGGAUGCCUCCUUGCCGUGUCAUGAGUACAGCGCGCUAGCCUGGAAACUCUCAGGUUCCCAGCAGCUUUGUCAGACAGAUUGGGAAGAUCACCUCCUAACAGGCACAGGAAUCUCAAGGUAUUUUGGAGACCUGGAAAAAGGAGGAAUUCACAUGGAUCUGUACGGAGAAAUCUGCGACAAGCCCUUGGUGUAGUUUUCCUGGCCCUGAGAAGCCUUUUUUAAAAGUUCAAUCUGAGAUUUCUUAUAAAAAGUUCCAGCAAAGCCAAUUAAAAAAAAAAAAAAGCCUAGAUGAUCAGUUACACUUACAUAAAACAUCAGACCAGGUUUUUUGAAAUCAGACUUAUUUUGCAAACAAAUUAGUCUUAAUUUGGCUCUAUUUGGUAGAAAUGAGAGGAGAGAAAAUAUGUUUCAGUGAAUAUUAAAUUCUAGUUUUGUUAACUGGGAUCUGUAUUUACUAAGAUUCACUUCCCAGAUAGUUCCUUGCUGUUUUAAUACUGUAAGCUUAACUGAAUUAUUAAAAGGACACUCUAAGAUUGUUUCUGAAGCUUAUCUUAGUAAUCUAUCUUUGGAUGGAGAUCAGAUGCCCCAUGACCUACAACCAGGAAAAGGCAUCUUUUGAAGGACUGUGUCCAGCCUAGAAUGAUCUAGGGUCCUUAUAAGGUACUCCUAACUAGCUCACGCAUAGCAAAUCUGAAGCAAAUGGAUAUUUGGAUUGUUAUUUCCACUUGCAAAGGGCCCCUGCACAGGACUGGCUUACAGAGAGGACUGCUGAUCUCAAAACCACCUUAAAACAAUGCUCCAACAGAGUGGAAGCUACCAGACCAGGAUCAGAAGAAAACAUCUGAAGUAGACAGCUGACCUAAGACACCGGACCAGGACUGUAUACCAAUUACUUUAAUAAUUGCUCACAACUUUGCUUACGAACCAAAUGUAUUUCACAAUCUUAUGCAGAGUUAAAGUUAAUCCAAUUGUUAGGUUUACGGUCAAUUACUUAUAUCCAGCACUUCUGGGUUACGUAGGUGGGUUUCUCCACUCCAAGGCUUUAACUGGUUGGCCCUCACGAAAUUUAUUCUAGAAGAAAAAAUUUACAUUUCUAUUCAGGCCACUAUUUAUAUUAAUAGGUAGGAUCUGCUCAUCUGAUCAAUUAAUAUCUGCUCUGACCCUGGCCAUAAAUAUGAAUCUCCUUCUAAGGUUACCCAAGCUCAAUAAAAAUUUCAGUCAAAAAUUGCAACCUCCCAUUUAUGAGAAGGAAACCUCCCACAGUUACGGGACGGAUUUAUGUGGCUCACACCAGGCUAUGGUCAUUUAAGUUUAAAGUCUCCUUUAUGUUGGGGAUAAUGACAUCAUACUAUGGAUAAGCGGGCUGGUAACACUAGGAAACUGGACUGGUUGCCUUAUGAGCAACACUUUGCAUUUCCCUGAGAGAGAAGGAUUGGCACAGAACAGACCAAGUCAGACAACCUGGAGAUAUCCUGGGCUGCACCUGAAGGAAGUUCUUGGCUUAAAUUCUUACUUAUGACCUUACUAAUACUAUUAGCUAUAUUAUUUGUAUUUUGCCUGUUUUACAAAACUCUGUUGUUUUUUACAUUACCAAAUGUGUGACUGAGCCUCUGAUAACAUGAUGACCAGGAGACUUGAAGCAGCUGACCAGGUAUGUACCUCUAUAUGAGACCUAUGAUUGUGACAGUGCGACUCUAGAUAUGGGAAGAAACAACAAGGGGGAAUAUUUUCCUGGACCAUAAAAGACUAGUAAGACAGGUGGUCCAGAGAUGCUCAGCUACUGUAAACAGGGCCUUGGCCAGGAACGGCACACUGAGUGACCUACUGACGGGAUCCUCGCUGACCUAGGAAUGAGUAUGCCUAGCACCACGGGACGAAACGGUCGGGUAACGCCUCCCAGCCCAUGGCGGGAUUUAUAACCAUGAGGGAGCCCUGCCAGCUAAACCUUGGACUUGCCAUCUGCCUCUACAAGGAUUAAGCCUCUAGUCACUGCAGUCAUUGACUUUCAACACACCCUGAAAGGAGUUCAGGGUGGAGAUCAGAAAUGAGGUGCUCUGUGCUCUGGGGAAAACUGGCAGAACAGAGCUUCAGAUAGUUAGAUAUUUUCAGGAGAAUAUUUCUGAGACCAAAUUCUUGCAUUUUCUCAUAUCUAGAAGAGCACUAAAAUCAGUAACAGUGGCAUUUCCUCACGACAAGCAGCAAGGCUCUGCCAAAAUGUGUGCUUGACUGUACAUCCCUCCCUUCACUUCACUGUACAACACUCACCUUCGCCCCACCUCUUCAGAGCAGUCCCUCAGAGCUAUCUGAGACGCCGUUUCCCGGGCUAUAGUCCUCAUUUCACCCCAAAUAAAACUUAACUCACAACUCA